GUGUCAGCCGCCGCGGUAAGACGAACCGUGCGAACGUUAUUCGGAAUCACUGGGCUUAAAGCGCGUGUAGGCGGGACGGCACGUCGGUCGCUGAAAUCCCCCGGCUUAACCGGGGAACGGGCGUCGAUACGACCGUCCUGGAGGGGCGUAGGGGGACCUGGAACUUCCGGUGGAGCGGUGAAAUGCGUUGAGAUCGGAAGGAACGCCCGUGGCGAAAGCGAGGUCCUGGACGCCUACUGACGCUGAGACGCGAAAGCCAGGGGAGCGAACGGGAUUAGAUACCCCUGUAGUCC
rnacentral:rRNA from 1 species